AUAGCGUAUAUUAAAGUUGUUGCGGUUAAAAAGCUCGUAGUUGAAUCUGUGUAACACAGUGUCGGUUCACCGCUCGCGGUGUUUAACUGGCAUUACGUGUUGCGUCCUACCGGUGGGCUUAGCCUUUCGGGGCGGUCCAACCAAUAUCCUAACCCGGUGCUCUUGACUGAGUGUCGAGUUGGGCCGGUACGUUUACUUUGAACAAAUUAGAGUGCUCAAAGCAGGCUACUUUCGCCUGAAUACUGUGUGCAUGGAAUAAUGGAAUAGGACCUCGGUUCUAUUUUGUUGGUUUUCGGAACCCCGAGGUAAUGAUUAAUAGGGACAGAUGGGGGCAUUCGUAUUGCGACGUUAGAGGUGAAAUUCUUGGAUCGUCGCAAGACGGACAGAAGCGAAAGCAUUUGCCAAAAAUGUUUUCAUUAAUCAAGAACGAAAGUUAGAGGUUCGAAGGCGAUCAGAUACCGCCCUAGUUCUAACCAUAAACGAUGCCAGCUAGCGAUCCGCCGAAGUUCCUCCGAUGACUCGGCGGGCAGCUUCCGGGAAACCAAAGCUUUUGGGUUCCGGGGGAAGUNNNNNNNNNNNNNNNNNNNUUAAAGGAAUUGACGGAAGGGCACCACCAGGAGUGGAGCCUGCGGCUUAAUUUGACUCAACACGGGAAACCUCACCAGGCCCGGACACCGGAAGGAUUGACAGAUUGAUAGCUCUUUCUUGAUUCGGUGGGUGGUGGUGCAUGGCCGUUCUUAGUUGGUGGAGCGAUUUGUCUGGUUAAUUCCGAUAACGAACGAGACUCUAGCCUGCUAAAUAGGCGUAAUUCAUGGUAUCUCGAAGGCCCUCGGCUACGGUCGGGCGGUUUUUACUACCAACGUACCAACAAAUCUUCUUAGAGGGACAGGCGGCUUCUAGCCGCACGAGAUUGA
rnacentral:rRNA from 1 species